rnacentral:rRNA from 1 species
GACGAACGCUGGCGGCGUGCUUAACACAUGCAAGUCGAACGGAAAGACCCUGCUUUUGUGGGGUGCUCGAGUGGCGAACGGGUGAGUAACACGUGAGUAACCUGCCCUUGACUUUGGGAUAACUUCAGGAAACUGGGGCUAAUACCGGAUAGGAGCUCCUGCUGCAUGGUGGGGGUUGAAAGUUUCGGCGGUUGGGGAUGGACUCGCGGCUUAUCAGCUUGUUGGUGGGGUAGUGGCUUACCAAGGCUUUGACGGGUAGCCGGCCUGAGAGGGUGACCGGCCACAUUGGGACUGAGAUACGGCCCAGACUCCUACGGGAGGCAGCAGUGGGGAAUAUUGCACAAUGGGCGGAAGCCUGAUGCAGCAACGCCGCGUGCGGGAUGACGGCCUUCGGGUUGUAAACCGCUUUCGCCUGUGACGAAGCGUGAGUGACGGUAAUGGGUAAAGAAGCACCGGCUAACUACGUG